GACGAACGCUGGCGGCGUGCUUAACACAUGCAAGUCGAACGGAAAGGCCCUGCUUUUGUGGGGUGCUCGAGUGGCGAACGGGUGAGUAACACGUGAGUAACCUGCCCUUGACUUUGGGAUAACUUCAGGAAACUGGGGCUAAUACCGGAUAGGAGCUCCUGCUGCAUGGUGGGGGUUGGAAAGUUUCGGCGGUUGGGGAUGGACUCGCGGCUUAUCAGCUUGUUGGUGGGGUAGUGGCUUACCAAGGCUUGGACGGGUAGCCGGCCUGAGAGGGUGACCGGCAACAUUGGGACUGAGAUACGGCCCAGACUCCUACGGGAGGCAGCAGUGGGGAAUAUUGCACAAUGGGCGGAAGCCUGAUGCAGCAACGCCGCGUGCGGGAUGACGGCCUUCGGGUGGUAAACCGCUUUCGCCUGUGACGAAGCGUGAGUGACGGUAAUGGGUAAAGAAGCACCGGCUAACUACGUG
rnacentral:rRNA from 1 species